GAUCCUGGCUCAGGAUGAACGCUGGCGGCGUGCCUAAUACAUGCAAGUCGAACGCUUCACUUCGGUGAAGAGUGGCGAACGGGUGAGUAACACGUGGGUAACCUGCCCAUCAGAGGGGGAUAACAUCCGGAAACGGAUGCUAAAACCGCAUAGGUCUUCGAACCGCAUGGUUUGAAGAGGAAAAGAGGCGCAAGCUUCUGCUGAUGGAUGGACCCGCGGUGCAUUAGCUAGUUGGCGGGUAAGGACCCG
rnacentral:rRNA from 1 species